rnacentral:rRNA from 1 species
UACGUAGGGUGCAGGCGUUAAUCGGAAUUACUGGGCGUAAAGCGUGCGCAGGCGGUUUGCUAAGUCAGGUGUGAAAUCCCCGGGCUUAACCUGGGAACUGCGCUUGUAACUGGCAAGCUAGAGUGUGGCAGAGGGGGGUGGAAUUCCACGUGUAGCAGUGAAAUGCGUAGAGAUGUGGAGGAACACCGAUGGCGAAGGCAGCCCCCUGGGCUAACACUGACGCUCAUGCACGAAAGCGUGGGGAGCAAACAGG